rnacentral:lncRNA from 1 species
UAUAUAUAGAGAGAGAGAGAGAUUGAGAGAGAGAGAGAGAGAUAGAGAGAGAGAGAGCUAGGCUCCUAUACUAUCUAUAGUACCGGGAUCCGGUACUAUAGUCUCAUUUUCGAUCUUAAGAAAUUCAAAUAAAUGAUUCACACCGUUAAAACUAAUUUAGAAUAUUUGAAGUUUCUAUAAAAUUUUAUAUUUUCUCAACAUAGUUUACUUUAUGAUUAAACUAUUUCAAACUUGUCAAUUUUCAAUGGCUACUAUGGUAAGUUCAUAGUUUAACAGUGUAAAAAAAUUUAAAUUUAUUCAAAUUUUAAUAAAAAAUAUUUUAAACUAUAUAGAUCAAGGUCAAAAUAGUUUAUUUUAAAGAUUGUUCAAUUUUCACCGUUUAUUUUGACGUGAUUUAAUUACUAAGUAAAUGAUAUUAAAAAAAUUA